UUACGAUUACGAAGGACGAUUGCUACAUAAUUCUGACAAAUAGCGCCAUACAUGAUCAAAUAGCAAUAGAUAGAAAUAAUUCAUGAUAUUACUUUAAUUUCUAAAUCGCUCUAAAGUGGCAGUCUUGAGAUUUAUAUUAAUACAUAAUAUUUGAAAAAAUAAUAUUGACAACAAAUAUCGUGCAAUUUUCCACUUCGCCAACAGUUUUUACAGAAUGUUUUAUCAUCAAAGUAUCUAGAAUCAUUUUUGACAUUUGAAGGUAGUUUAAUAUCUACCUUUCAAAUGUCGAUUUUUAUUAAACGAAACGGUUAUAGAUCGACAACCAUGCACUACUUUCAAACCUUACUACAUCACCACCCCAGUUAGACGUUGUGAUCACAUCGUUAUCAGUUCGAGAAUUAUUUCAAAAUUAUUUCGUUGGAGAGAUAUCAUCAGAAGAAACUAAGGUUCGAAAAUGUCUUCAGAAACGCUAUCACCAAAUUCAAUACACAUGAUGGAAUAUUUACAAUCAAUGUUUGAUGAGGCAGUUAAGACAGCGUAUGUAUUAUGCAUCGAUGAUGAGCUUCCCUCGAAUGAAAAUAGUAAUAAUGAAAAGGCAAAUGCACAGCCACGAUUAAUCCCGUACACCCCUCCACCAGGUAAUUCCAUUAACAGUACUCUCGAAACUGAAGGCAACACUGGACCAUAUGAGUUAAACUCGAUUGAAAAAACAAAAAAUGGUUAUACCAAAAAAUAUUCAAUCAAGAUUAAUACAGAAAAAUCAAAAAAAUCAUGUGUAAGGACUUCAUUCGAGGAAUUUGCAGAAGGGGAAAUGAUUGUAUUUAUUCCCAUGAACUAGAUUUAAAACAACUGAAUGGAGUCUACAAGUUUUGUCGCGAUUAUGUAAAAGGAAAUUGUUACAGAAAGUUUUGUAUUUUCGUUCAUGCUACCAUAUUUGAGAGAGAAAAUUACUUUAGAACUGGUUUUUUGCCACCUCAUACUCUGAGACACUUGAAAGAAAGAAAUGUAAGGCGCCCGUAAUGUAUUCGAGUAGGUCCAUCGCGUGAAAAUAUAGAGUCUGUAUAUGCAAAGAUACCUUCUGAUUUAUACGCAUGGUAUAUAAAAUUCUAAAUAUACAUUAAUAUAGCUUCAUCGACCACCGUACUAAAACAUAAAACCUAUUGUAUAGGUAUUAAUUAUCUUU